rfam:Pteropus alecto contig23899, whole genome shotgun sequence.
GGUUCUAUAGCGUAGUGGUUAGCACAUCUGCUUUACAUGCAGAAGGUCCUGGGUUCAUGCCCCAGUGGAGUAA